AGAAAGAAAAGUAAGAAAGAAAAUUAAAAAAGAAAAAAGAAAGAUUAGUAAGAAAGAAAAGUAAGAAAGAAAGAAAAGUAAAAAAGAAAAAAGAAAGAUUAGUUAGAUAGAAAGAAAAGUAAGCAAGAAAGAAAAGAAAGAUUAGUUAGAAAGAAAGAAAAAGAAAAAAGAAAGAUUAGCUAGAAAGAAGAAAGACUGAUUAGUUAGAACGAAAGAAAAAAGAAAGAUUUGUUAGAAAGGAAAGAAAGAUUAGUUAGAAAGA